AGCAGCCGCGGUAAUUCCAGCUCCAAUAGCGUAUAUUAAAGUUGUUGCAGUUAAAAAGCUCGUAGUUGAAUUUCGGGGUUAGUAGGUUGGUCGUGCCUCUGGUAUGUACUCGCCUUACUGAUUCCUCCUUCUUGAAGAACUGUAAUGCCAUUAAUUUGGUGUUGCAGGGAAACAGGACUGUUACUUUGAAAAAUUAGAGUGUUUAAAGCAGGCCGAUGCCUGAAUACAUUAGCAUGGAAUAAUGAAAUAGGACGUUGAUCCUAUUUUGUUGGUUUCUAGGAUUGACGUAAUGAUUAAUAGGGAUAGUUGGGGGCAUUAGUAUUCAAUUGUCAGAGGUGAAAUUCUUGGAUUUAUUGAAGACUAACUACUGCGAAAGCAUUUGCCAAGGAUGUUUUCAUUAAUCAAGAACGAAAGUUAGGGGAUCGAAGACGAUUAGAUACCGUCGUAGUCUUAACCAUAAACUAUGCCGACUAGGGAUCGGAUGAUGUUAAUUUUAAUGACUCAUUCGGCGCCUUACGGG
rnacentral:rRNA from 1 species